CGCCUGUUUAUCAAAAACAUCGCCUCUUGCACUACACAUAAGAGGUCCAGCCUGCCCAGUGACAUUGUUCAACGGCCGCGGUAUCCUAACCGUGCGAAGGUAGCGUAAUCACUUGUUCUUUAAAUAAGGACUAGUAUGAAUGGCAUCACGAGGGUUAUACUGUCUCCUCUUCCUAAUCAGUGAAACUAAUCUCCCCGUGAAGAAGCGGGGGUAAUAUUAUAAGACGAGAAGACCCUAUGGAGCUUUAGAUUAAACGACACUUGUUUGCAUUAAUUUUAAAUUCCAGAAAAACAUACACACUUAACAAGAUUAAUCGUCAAUCUUAGGUUGGGGUGACCACGGAGCACAAAACAACCUCCAUGUUGAACGACAUUUACUGUCUUAUUCACGAGCAACCACUCUAAAAAUCAAUAUACUGACAUCUAUUGACCCAAUUUUUGAUCAACGAACCAAGUUACCCUAGGGAUAACAGCGCAAUCCUCUUCAAGAGCUCCUAUCGACAAGUGGGUUUACGACCUCGAUGUUGGAUCAGGGUAUCCAAGUGGUGCAGCCGCUACUAAAGGUUCGU
rnacentral:rRNA from 1 species